AUGGCGGCGACGUCGUAUUCGUCGUCUUCAUCGGCGGCGGGGGCUGGUGGCGGCAGCGCCGCGGCGGCGACGGCGGCCGGGCUCAAGACCUACUUCAAGACGCCCGAGGGGAGGUACAAGCUGCAGUACGAGAAAGCUCACUCCACCGCUGUCCUUCACUACAACCACGGCGGGAAGACCGUCUCGCAGUUGACAGUGGCAUACCUGAAGGAGAGGUCGACUGGCCAAGGCUCCACACCAUCAACACCAAGCUCCAGCAGUGGGAUGCGAUCGGCGGCAGCAAGGCUGCUGGGCACUGGGAAUGGUAGCCGGGCACUUAGCUUCGUUGGGGGUAAUGGUGUCAGUCGUGCUGUGUCUGGAAGCAGCCGCGUGGGAGGAACCUUUGGUACAUCUACAAGCCUUGGAGGAUCUCAAGCUGUAGCAAACUACGAUGGCAAGGGUGCAUACAUCAUCUACAAUUCUGCGGAUACACUAUUCAUCAGUGACCUUAAUUCCCAAAACAAGGAUCCGCUAAAGUCCAUCCAUUUUAGCAAUUCUAACCCAUUGUGCCACGCAUUUGACUCGGAGGCCAAGGAGGGGCAUGACUUAAUCAUUGGGAUGGGAUCAGGGGAUGUUUAUUCAAUGUCGCUGAGGCAACAGCUACAAGAACCUGGAAGGAAGCCUGUUGCAGCCCAACAUUAUAAUAGGGGUGAUAAAGAUGGAAUGAGCAUCAGCAGCCGUUGCACUUCUGUUGCAUGGGUUCCGGAGUGUGAAGGCAUGUUUGUUGUUAGCCACUCUGAUGGAAAUUUGUAUGUGUAUGAUAAAUGCAGAGAUGGAAACACGGAGUGUACAUUUCCAGCUAUAAGGGAUCCAGCUCAAUUGAUGGUUUCACAUGCAAAGUCGAGUAAGAGUAACCCAAUUGCCAGGUGGCAUGUUUGUCAUGGUUCAAUCAAUGCAAUUUCCUUCUCUCCAGAUGGGGCAUACUUGGCGACGGUUGGGCGAGAUGGUUAUUUGAGAGUGUUUGACUUUUCAAAGGAACAGCUAAUAUUUGGUGGCAAAAGUUAUUAUGGCGCUCUCUUGUGUUGCACCUGGAGCUCGGAUGGCAAAUAUCUAUUGACAGGUGGUGAAGAUGAUCUUGUGCAGGUAUGGAGCAUGGACGACAGGAAGACUGUUGCAUGGGGUGAAGGGCAUAAUUCUUGGGUUAGUGGAGUUGCUUUUGAUCCAUAUUGGUCCCCACCAAAUGCUGAUGGAACGGGAGAAAAUGCGGUGUAUCGUUUUGGUUCUGUUGGUCAGGCUACCACGUCAAAUUCUUUUAGCAGGAUAGAGGCGGCUUGUACCAUGACAACAUCCAGUAUGUGCACGUGGUAUCUUUCUCAAAGGAUAUCUGUAGCCCCGGAUACCCAAUUGCUUCUGUGGGAUUUGGCAAUGGAUGAGAUUGUUGUCCCACUACGUCAUCCUUCAGGUGGUUCGCCAACAUUUAGCAGUGGGAGUCCUGCACACUGGGACAGUGCAUGCCCUCCAACAGGUAUUCUUCAACCUUCUCCUAGAAUGCGGCACGUGCCAAAGCUUUCACCUCUUGUCGCCCACCGAGUACAUGCGGAUCCCCUGUCUGGUGUGGUGUUCAGCACUGAAUCAAUCGUCACCAUUUGCCGCGAGGGACUAAUCAAAAUAUGGGCCAGACCUGGCCACAGUGAAAACAAUCAACAGUCAAAUUCUUCCGAGUAG
rnacentral:rRNA from 1 species